rnacentral:rRNA from 1 species
UACGGGGGGGGCAAGCGUUGUUCGGAAUUACUGGGCGUAAAGGGCGCGUAGGCGGCCUACUAAGUCGGACGUGAAAUCCCUCGGCUCAACCGAGGAACUGCGUCCGAUACUGGCAGGCUGGAAUCCGGGAGAGGGAUGUGGAAUUCCAGGUGUAGCGGUGAAAUGCGUAGAUAUCUGGAGGGACACCGGUGGCGAAGGCGGCAUCCUGGACCGGUAUUGACGCUGAGGCGCGAAAGCUAGGGGAGCAAACGGG